rnacentral:tRNA from 1 species
GGAGAGGUGGCCGAGUGGUUGAAGGCGCAGUCCUGGAAAGACUGUAUACGGGAAACCGUAUCGAGAGUUCGAAUCUCUCCCUCUCCG